UAGGGAAUCUUCGGCAAUGGGGGCAACCCUGACCGAGCAACGCCGCGUGAGUGAAGAAGGUUUUCGGAUCGUAAAGCUCUGUUGUAAGUCAAGAACGGGUGUGAGAGUGGAAAGUUCACACUGUGACGGUAGCUUACCAGAAAGGGACGGCUAACUACGUGCCAGCAGCCGCGGUAAUACGUAGGUCCCGAGCGUUGUCCGGAUUUAUUGGGCGUAAAGCGAUGCGC
rnacentral:rRNA from 1 species